AGUGCAUGUGGUGGAUGCCUUGGCAGUCAGAGGCGAUGAAAGACGUGAUAGCCUGCGAAAAGCUCCGGGGAGGCGGCAAAUAUCCUUUGAUCCGGAGAUGUCUGAAUGGGGGAACCCACCUACUUUAAGGUAGGUAUUGCAACAUGAAUACAUAGUGUUGCAAGGCGAACGAGGGGAAGUGAAACAUCUCAGUACCCUUAGGAAAAGAAAUCAAUUGAGAUUCCCUCAGUAGCGGCGAGCGAACGGGGAUCAGCCCAUUAAGUUAUGUGUGUUUUAGUGGAACGCUCUGGGAAGUGCGAACGUAGAGGGUGAUAUUCCCGUACACGAAAGGGCACACAUAAUGAUGACGAGUAGGGCGAGGCACGUGAAACCUUGUCUGAAUAUGGGGGGACCAUCCUCCAAGGCUAAAUACUCCUGACUGACCGAUAGUGAACCAGUACCGUGAGGGAAAGGCGAAAAGAACCCCUGUGAGGGGAGUGAAAUAGAUCCUGAAACCGCAUGCAUACAAGCAGUGGGAGCACCUUCGUGGUGUGACUGCGUACCUUUUGUAUAAUGGGUCAGCGACUUAUAUUCAGUAGCGAGGUUAACCGUAUAGGGGAGCCGUAGAGAAAUCGAGUCUUAAUAGGGCGUUUAGUUGCUGGGUAUAGACCCGAAACCAGGCGAUCUAUCCAUGAGCAGGUUGAAGGUUGGGUAACACUAACUGGAGGACCGAACCCACUGUCGUUGAAAAGCCAGGGGAUGACUUGUGGAUAGGGGUGAAAGGCUAAUCAAGCCUGGUGAUAGCUGGUUCUCCCCGAAAGCUAUUUAGGUAGCGCCUCGGACGAAUACCAUAGGGGGUAGAGCACUGUUUCGGCUAGGGGGUCAUCCCGACUUACCAAACCGAUGCAAACUCCGAAUACCUAUGAGUACUAUCCGGGAGACAGACUGCGGGUGCUAACGUCCGUAGUCAAGAGGAAAACAAUCCAGACCGCCAGCUAAGGCCCCAAAAUCAUAGUUAAGUGGGAAACGAUGUGGGAAGGCAUAGACAGCUAGGAGGUUGGCUUANNNNNNNNNNNNNNGAAGCAGCCACCCUUUAAAGAAAGCGUAAUAGCUCACUAGUCGAGUCGGCCUGCGCGGAAGAUGUAACGGGGCUAAAACUAUGUGCCGAAGCUGCGGAUUUGACAUUAGUCAAGUGGUAGGGGAGCGUUCUGUAAGCCGAUGAAGGUGUAUUGAGAAGUNNAUGCUGGAGGUAUCAGAAGUGCGAAUGCUGACGUGAGUAACGACAAAACGGGUGAAAAACCCGUUCGCCGAAAGACCAAGGGUUCCAGUCCAACGUUAAUCGGGGCUGGGUGAGUCGACCCCUAAGGCGAGGCCGAAAGGCGUAGUCGAUGGGAAAAUGGUUAAUAUUCCAUUACUUCUGUGUAAUGCGAUGAGAGGACGGAGAAGGCUAAAUCAGCCUGGCGUUGGUUGUCCAGGUGAAAGGAUGUAGGCAUGUAUCUUAGGCAAAUCCGGGGUACUCUAUGCUGAGAUCUGAUAGCAAGCUGUACUUGUACAGCGAAGUGGUUGAUGCCAUGCUUCCAGGAAAAGUCUCUAAGCUUCAGUUACACAGGAAUCGUACCCGAAACCGACACAGGUGGUCAGGUCGAGUAGACCAAGGCGCUUGAGAGAACUCUGCUGAAGGAACUAGGCAAAAUGGUACCGUAACUUCGGGAGAAGGUACGCUGUUGUUGGUGAUGGAACUCGCUUCCUGAGCUGACGACAGCCGCAGAAACCAGGCCGCUGCAACUGUUUAUUAAAAACAUAGCACUCUGCAAACACGAAAGUGGACGUAUAGGGUGUGAUGCCUGCCCGGUGCUGGAAGGUUAAUUGAUGGGGUUAGCGUAAGCGAAGCUCUUGAUCGAAGCCCCAGUAAACGGCGGCCGUAACUAUAACGGUCCUAAGGUAGCGAAAUUCCUUGUCGGGUAAGUUCCGACCUGCACGAAUGGCAUAAUGAUGGCGGCGCUGUCUCCAGCAGAGGCUCAGUGAAAUCGAAAUCGCUGUGAAGAUGCAGUGUACCCGCGGCUAGACGGAAAGACCCCGUGAACCUUUACUGCAGCUUGACACUGAACUUUGACCUUACUUGUGUAGGAUAGGUGGGAGGCUUUGAAGCUGGAACGCUAGUUCCAGUGGAGCCGUCCUUGAAAUACCACCCUGGUAAUGUUGAGGUUCUAACUCUGUCCCGUGAUCCGGGACGAGGACCGUGUCUGGUGGGUAGUUUGACUGGGGCGGUCUCCUCCUAAAGAGUAACGGAGGAGUACGAAGGUGCGCUCAGCGUGGUCGGAAAUCACGCGUAGAGUAUAAAGGCAAAAGCGCGCUUAACUGCGAGACCCACAAGUCGAGCAGGUACGAAAGUAGGUCUUAGUGAUCCGGUGGUUCUGUAUGGAAGGGCCAUCGCUCAACGGAUAAAAGGUACUCUGGGGAUAACAGGCUGAUACCGCCCAAGAGUUCAUAUCGACGGCGGUGUUUGGCACCUCGAUGUCGGCUCAUCUCAUCCUGGGGCUGAAGCAGGUCCCAAGGGUAUGGCUGUUCGCCAUUUAAAGAGGUACGCGAGCUGGGUUUAGAACGUCGUGAGACAGUUCGGUCCCUAUCUACCGUGGGCGCUGGAAAUUUGAGAGGAUCUGCUCCUAGUACGAGAGGACCAGAGUGGACGAACCUCUGGUGUACCGGUUGUGACGCCAGUCGCAUCGCCGGGUAGCUAUGUUCGGAAGGGAUAACCGCUGAAAGCAUCUAAGCGGGAAGCCUACCUCAAGAUAAGAUUUCCCUAGGACUUUAUGUCCUCUAAAGAGCCGUUCGAGACUAGGACGUUGAUAGGUUGGAUGUGGAAGCAUAGUGAUAUGUGAAGCUGACCAAUACUAAUUGCUCGUGAGGCUUGACU
rnacentral:rRNA from 1 species